UUGUCUUCCGGUUCCAGCUCCACUUCCGUUUACCUGCUCACUGUAAAAUAAAACCUCUUGUAAAACUUCAUCGGUCUCCUGAUGGCUUUCUGCAUAAGUUUUCAUUGGAAGUGGGAAAGAAGAGAACUGAUUCAAGGAAGCAUCCAUAGUUCCCUUCAUCGUCACCCAGCCCAUUACCAAACAAGAGAGGAACCUUAUGCACUUCCCCGUCUACCAGGCCUCCCUGCGACUGAUCUGACUACAGAUGUGUCUGGGCUGGAUCACUGAAGGGAAAAAAGGAUUUGUUGGAAUAUUGGCUCUGGCAUUUUGAGACAACAAGAGACAAAAAUACGGUGGCGAUUAGAAGGAGAGCUUUGUUCUGUCUGUCUCUGUUCUGAAUAAUCUGAUCACAAGUGCCAAACAAAGAUGACUCAGCUGGUUCAAGAUAUGAUGACUAAAUAUGAGUCAUAUGAGCAGGUUUUUGGAGUUAAGUCAAAAAGUACGGAUAACUUGACAAAUUUAAAGGUGUGCAUCUGCACUAAAAUAUGUGGCUGAAAUAGUAAUAAUUAAAGGGAUUUUCGAAGUUAUGAUUGACAUGUUUUUUGCUUUCAUUACCCUUCAAGGUUCAUUUGUAUUUCUGUCCUUUUUCCCUUCUCUCUGCACCACAUGGCUGUUGUGGAAAUAUAAAUGCCUUAUCAUUAGUAGCUAAAGCUAAGAUAUAUUUGGGAUUUGCUGCUUAUAGAUUGAUUAUUAUUAGGAG